rnacentral:rRNA from 1 species
GAGUCGCAAGCUCGCGAGAGUAAGCUAAUCUCUUAAAGCCGUUCUCAGUUCGGACUGUAGGCUGCAACUCGCCUACACGAAGUCGGAAUCGCUAGUAAUCGCGGAUCAGCAUGCCGCGGUGAAUACGUUCCCGGGCCUUGUACACACCGCCCGUCACACCAUGGGAGUUUGUAACGCCCAAAGUCGGUGGCCUAACCUUUAUGGAGGGAGCCGCCUAAGGCGGGACAGAUGACUGGGGUGAAGUCGUAACAAGGUAGCCGUAGGAGAACCUGCGGCUGGAUCACCUCCUUUCUAAGGAA